CUGCCUCCCAAGUGCUGGGAUUAAAUAAGACAUGUGCCACCACUGCCUGGUUUACAGCCUGCCUUUUAAGGCUGCCUGAAAUGUAUAGGGUUUUUGUUUUGUUUAGUUUUGUUUUAGAUUUUGAAAACUUUUAUGUUUUAUGUUUAUGUUCUCUCUUUUGCACUUUGAAAACAGGAUUUCAUGAAGCCCAAGCUGGCAUCAAAUUCAAUAUGCAACCAAGAUAACCUUGACCUGGCCUUCCUACCUCUACCUCCCAGAGAACAGCAUGGUGGACAACAUUAAAUAUGAAUGGAGUGCUGGGGGCUUGGGAACUGAAGCUUGGGUGGCCUGCAGAGCUAGCCAGGUGGAAACUGAGAUAGGCUCAUUCAGAUGCAAAGACUGCCAAGGCUGCACACAGCCAGGCUGUCUUUGAAGAACCUUCCUGAAGGACGGAAAGGUGGCAUGCAGUGGUUGGUUUUUGCCAGCUUGACACAAACCUAGACAUGUCUGGGAGAAGGAAUCUUAAUUGAGAAAAUGCCUUCAUAAAAUUGGCCUACAGACAAGUCCGUGGGGUAUUGUGUUGAUUAAUGAUUGAGAGGAACUGAGCAAGCCAGGAAGAUCAAGUCAGUAAGCAGCUCUUCCGUGGCCUCUGCAUCAGCUCCUGCCUUGCUUUCUGCCCUGAUUCCCUCAGUAUUGUGGAACUGUAAACUGAAAUAAACACUUUUCUCCCUCAA